rnacentral:rRNA from 1 species
CUCGGACCGCGACCCCAGGUCAGGCGGGACUACCCGCC